rnacentral:rRNA from 1 species
ACGCUGGCGGUAGGCUUAACACAUGCAAGUCGUGCGAGAAAGUACCUUCGGGUGCGAGUAGAGCGGCGGACGGGUGAGUAACGCGUAGGAAUCUACCUAGUAGAAGGGGAUAGCCCGAGGAAACUCGGAUUAAUACCGUAUACCUCCUUAGGGAGAAAGAGGGCUUAGCUUUGAUGCUCUCGCUAUUAGAUGAGCCUGCGUAAGAUUAGCUUGUUGGUGAGGUAAUGGCUCACCAAGGCGACGAUCUUUAGCUGGUCUGAGAGGACGAUCAGCCACAUUGGGACUGAGACACGGCCCAGACUCCUACGGGAGGCAGCAGUGGGGAAUAUUGGACAAUGGGCGCAAGCCUGAUCCAGCCAUACCGCGUGUGUGAAGAAGGCUUUCGGGUUGUAAAGCACUUUAAGUAAGGAGAAAAAGAUUGUAGUUAAUACCUGCAAUCCUUGAUGUUACUUACAGAAUAAGGACCGGCUAAUUCCGUGCCAGCAGCCGCGGUAAUACGGAAGGUCCAAGCGUUAAUCGGAAUUACUGGGCGUAAAGCGCGCGUAGGUGGUUUUUUAAGUUGGAUGUGAAAGCCCUGGGCUCAACCUAGGAACUGCAUCCAAAACUAGAUGACUAGAGUACGAAAGAGGGAAGUAGAAUUCACAGUGUAGCGGUGGAAUGCGUAGAUAUUGUGAAGAAUACCAAUGGCGAAGGCAGCUUCCUGGUUCUGUACUGACACUAAGGUGCGAAAGCGUGGGUAGCGAACAGGAUUAGAUACCCUGGUAGUCCACGCCGUAAACGAUGACAACUAGCUGUUGGGAGACAAGAUCUUUCAGUGGCGCAGCUAACGCUUUAAGUUGUCCGCCUGGGGAGUACGGCC